ACUUUAUACUUUCAAUGGGAUCUGCAUGAGGAGGAAGGCAAGACUGAAAAGUUCUGGCUGGUCUAAUUGGAAUCAGGACAGGUCUGGCUUCAGAACCAAGGCAGAGACAUGGAAAUAAUUUUUCAGAUGAAAUAAAAAUGAGACACCAAGAAGUUCAUUUAUUCAUAUGGUGGAAGAAAGAGCAAGAGUUCUACUUGCGUGAAACUUACAUCAUGUCUGGACAGAAAGACAACAAACACAUGAGCAACAACAACAAAAUACGUAUAUAUAAUGUUUGGAGGAGAUUAGUUCAUGGAGGAAAAAGAAAGCAGAAGGAGGAUUCAGAGGGUGAUGAAGGUGCCACAGCAUCAAGGCUGGCCAGUGAAUGCUGCCCUGCUACUAAGGCAAAACUUGAAUAAAAGCUAGAAUCCCGAGGAAACAAACUGAGCAGAUGCUGUAAUGAAGAGCACUGUUUGCAAAGGGAAGUGCACAUGCAAUGGCCUCAAGGGGGGAGUCUGUCUGUCUGCAGAAGAAGUUCAUGUGGCUGGAGCAGGGUGAGUGAGAGUUUGUAGCAAAGACUGAGAUCAGAUGAGAAACAAAACAAAACAAGAAGCCCCAUCAGGCAGAGUCUUAAAUUCACUGAAAGAUUAGGAAUUUUGUUUUGAGUUAGAUGAUGAGCCAUUGAAGGCUUUGGGACAAAAUGGAGACUCAACCCAACUUUAAAAUGAUAGCAGGUUGUGUAUUACAUUGUAAGGAUGGACACGUCAGUAUCCAUUUGCUAAAACCUAUGGAAUGUCAAGCACAAAGAGUGAACCCCAAUCUAAACUAUGGACUCUGGGAUGAUAAUGAUGUGUCAAUGACUGUAACCAAUGGACCACUCUGGCCUGAGAUAUUGAUUGUAGGGGAGGUUGUACAUGUGCAGACGGGGGACAUAUGAGAACUCUGUUCUUUCUCCUAAAAUUUUCUAUAAACCUAAAACUGCUUUAAAUAUAAAGUCUAUUUAAAAGAAAAAUAACUGGAAGUCUUGUGGACAUUAAGCCAUGGGGAGAAAAAUAGAAUCAGAAAGACGAUUUAGGAGACUAUGGUAAUUAUCUAGGUGAGAAAUAAUGUUGUCUUUCAUAAGAUAGAAGCUAAGAAGGUUUUAAGAAGUAUUAGAUUGUGGACUAUUUUGAAAAUAGAACUGAUGGUAUAUAUAUAUUUUUUUAAUAGGGUGAAUGAAUUGCAUAAGAGAAAGGAAGGUGUUAACAAUGACUUCAGGGUGGUUGGCCUGAGAGUCUUAAAGACUUGAGAUGCCAUUUACCAGCAGAGGAGAGUUGAGGAGAAGAUCAGUUUUAGGAGGUAGAUGAAGAGUUUAGUUUUCAGCAAAAGUUUGAGACAUGGCACACUUGAGAAGUUAAGGAAAUUCCUGCGAGGUCACCUAGUUUUGUAAAUAGCGAAGCUAAGACUAGGACCAGAUAACAUAAACAAAGAAGCUGACUCUCACUGCAGAGUUUAUUAUGCCUUAGCCAACUUUCAGCCACACUUAGUUUAAGUUUUUAUAUACAAACACAAUAAAUAUUCAAGUGGCUGGAGGGAAAAGAUGUCACGAGACCAAGCAUUUUAUGUUGGUCUCAUUCACUGAUCUUUCCCUAAUACCUAACAUAGAGUUUGUCAUGUAUUCACACAAAUAAAAACAUAUUUAAAAAUUAUUUAAUUCAUACACUUUUAAAAAACCUGAAAUAGAAAUCUGUCAGACAUGCAAAAGUUGAGCAAGGUACAGAUAUGGUAAAUUUUAUUUUAUAUUGGAGAAUUUAGACAAGUACCUAAUGGCAUUUUUGCAUGAUUACCUCAGAAAUAUGAGAAUAUACUCCUUACUUGAGAUAAUUGAAACUUUAGUGAAGAACAACAUAAUGCAAACUUUUUUGUCAAUAAGUGAAAAUUCUGGGUGAGUUAUGAAGGAUUAAUAAUUUGUUAGAGAGAAAAGCAACAGUUUGUAAACGAAGAAAAAUGUCUAAGAUACAAUUCUAUACAGGAAACUAUACAAUAAACACUGAAACUGAGAAAAAUGUUUUCCAACAAAGAUAAUGAAAAACUACUGUUUUAUUGUGAAUACAGGAAAUACAGCUAGAUAAAUUGAUAAAGUACUAGGAAAGGCGUAAAAUGCCAA